CCGCGCGCCCGCGGGCCCUUCCUGCCGGGAACAAAGGCGCGGACCCCCGCUGAUCGCUUCGCCGGCCUGGGCCUCUCCUCCGGCCGGCAGCGCAGCGCCCUGCCGGGCCGGGGGACGGUGACAGGGAUGGGCUCGGGAUCUGGCGGGCGCCUGGGCGCCGCGUGCGUAGGUGGCGCCCCCACUGAGUAAUUGGCUUCCUUCCGGGGAGCCGCGAGGUCCACGCGGCCCGGCAGGGCCCGGGGACCCAGGUCCGGGCACGGCACGUCGCUCACGAUCCUCCCCGGCUGCGGCCCCGCGCCGGCUCCUCCCGGGGCGGGGGAGGGGUCCGAGCGCGGCACCCAUUGGCUGAGCCGGCCGAGCCCCCGGUCGGGCCCCGGCCCUUGAGCGCGGAGGAGGAGGGACCCGCCCCCGCUCGGCGGGCUGGGAACCGCUGCUCUCAUUUCCCGGGCGCCACACUAGGCGCGCGGCCUGGUUUUGGGCGUUUUUCGCCUCCCCGCGUGGUCCCCGCGCCAGCCCUCUGGGGCUCCGAGGCGGAAGGCAGUCUGCUAAGGCCCGGGCUUUAACCCCAGGAUGUCUGGCUGCAGGGCUGAGGCGAAAAACCCGCGUACGAGGCCCUUCUUUCCGCGUAGGGCAGGCCCCAGAGCUUUAGCCAAGUGGGGUGAUGUGCUCCGAGGUGGCACGUUUCCCUGUUCAGGCGGGGCUGAUGAGGGCCGCGUGGAGAGUGUACACCAGGGGCCGCCGCCCCGAUCCCGGGGGGGACAGGGGUUCGGGAAGGGGCCCCGGGCUUGAGUGCAAGGAGCUCGCGCCAGGGAGCUGGGGGACACGGGACUGAAUAGAUGAGGACUCUUCCCGCGGGAGCAAACUGCCUCGAUACGAUCUCUUUUUUUCUCUCUUUGUGACUUUCCCAGAAUGACUCCUUUCCAACAUUUACUGGGCCCCACCUUUUGUGUAGGGCUUUAUUUCUUUCCUCCCUCCUUCCCCCUUCUGUAGAAUAUUUCAAGUCACUUUUUUUUUUUUUGGAAACUCGGCAUGGAAGGCGCGAGGGUGUACGUUUUUUCACCUGGUGUGGGUUAGCACUGAAUUGCGCACUACCCUUCCUAUGGGCGGUGGAGGUGUCCGGUGGAACUGAGCAAGGUUUUGACUGGGCAGAGAGGUGCGUGACAGUGUGGCCAAGCUAUACCCUCAGCGGGAAAAGGCUCCUUUGUGCCUGAGGAAUCCAGACAACUUGCUUCACCAGCCCGCCCUGGCCUGAAGGGAGACCCUGCUGAGCCCAGAACACAUUUCCCGACAGUCAUAGAACUGGGAACUGACUCAUCUGACUUCCCUGCACUUUGUGGUGCUUCUCUGUGGCUCAUUGUGAUGUUUACCUGAGUGAAAAGUAGGGAGGAGACAAGUCGAAGACCCUCUUGUUCCAGCCGGGAGUUUGCUCACACUCCCUACUGGGCAGCAGACAAGGGUGAGUCCUGCCCCCAGAUAUCUCGCCCAGCCCUUUGUGAAGACCCCUCAACUAGUCCUUCCUGGCACCCUAAUCACACGCCAGGACCUCUGCCGACUCCACCCUCCAUACAAAGGAGAAAUGAGAAAUCUGCGGGGUUCCUCAGCCCUUCAGAGGUACAAAGAGCAUAGGCUUUUGAAGUCCUGCAUUUGUGGUUUUGAAUUCCAGCUUUAGCUCAAUUACCGCGUCCACAGAAUGAUGUCAUUUUCAUCAUUAGAGUGUCUGCAAGAACUCAGAAAUAAAUGUGUCUGUCUGUCCCCA